GCAUGACAACCCGCCUGCCAACCGUCUUUAUGAUUGGUCGGUCACUUGUUGACCAACUGCCAUUUUAUUCAAUUUUUCCUUUCUCCUCCCUGUCUUCUCGACAUCUUCAGCGAGAUCCCCUUUGAUACAAAGUAUUUCAUGCACCAAAAGGAUUAAAGAUGUGAAGAAGUAUUAAUAACAAUCAUGCGGGGCUAUUGACGUUUUUCCCCUGUUGGGUCUCCUUGGCGGUUUGGUGACGCUGUCGGAUGCGUGCGUCUUGAUUAAUGGCGCUGGCCGUCGAUCAGAGCACGUUAGAGUUAACAGAGGCAGAGCACCAAAACAUCACACACUCUGUCACCCCCUAUCGACUUUCAAUCUAAGGCUUCGGUUAAUGAAUGAGCGAUCGCAUGUAACAUCAGCUUCACAUCCGAGUGACACGAUCACACCGGACGGGUUGGUGUGCUCCAUCCGAUUGUGGGAUCAUUUGGGUCAUUUGUGUAUUGUAAAUUGCUUUGUUUAAACAGGUUAGUCCUUUAAUGUAAUGCAGCCAUCAUCGAUAACAAAAUUUCAUUUGGUUUAAAUUUUUUGCAAUUGCCUCUCUUGUAAAAGCUUUUAUUGGCAUUUUUCUUACAUUCCAGUUUGACAUUUGAAAUGAUAUUGGAAAAUUAAACCAACUUCCUCAGAGAUAUGAAGUCAAAGAAUUGCUGACAUUAAUGGGACUUCUGUUGCUAUUAUUACUUUUACUAUCAACGCCCAAAAAGAAAUAGCGCCCAUCUGAAUAUAAAACAUCCAAAUUGUUCUGAAAGUACUAAAAGAGCCCCAAGAUGAAUCCGCAACGCAGAACAAUCUUUCCUUGAAUCUGCUGAUUACAGCGUCUGCCUCCAUGUCUCGAACUCUUUUCCAGACUGUCUAUUUCAUUUUCAUUUCUUUUUUUCUUCGCUUCUCUGGCUGUCACACAAAAAAAAAAAAAUCGAUCCUGUUUUUCUUCUUUUUCUUUUACAGUCCUACUCGUCUCUGUCUCGCUCACCCAGCCUGGAGAACCACAUUAUGGCAGACAAUGAGUCUGCAGUGUACUCUAUGGUGGACAAGUCUAACUGCGUGGGUGGCCCGGAGACCGGGGAAGACCGGGAGCACGACUACACCAGCAUCGCCGAGAUGAACGGCAUGGUCCCAGCCUCGUCAUCCAGCGACCUCUACGCCACCGUGAGAGACAUUUACGCCCAGCCGGAGAGCCCCCAGCGCGGGGCGGAGGGGGAGGAGGGCGACCCCGCCGGCGCCGAGUCCACGGAGCCCUGCUACGAGACCAUCCGGACCCCCAAGGCCGUGCCCGACCCGGAGGAGGGUGGGCCCGGCCUGGCCGCGUCGCCGGGGGCCAUGGAGGGAUCAGAUGGCGUCAGGGUGGAGCCCGACUACGAGUGCCUCGGGGAGAUGGGCGCGGAAACCUCGCGUCUCUGACUUCCUGUCUGUACAGGAAACGCCAGUUUGGAUCCUUGUGGGUUAUAGGUCAAGAUCAGUGGACUUCGCCAAAAGACUUGAGUGUCGUCUCCUCUCCCAGUUUGACAUCCCGUGUUAUUUUUAUUUUUUUAGUCAGUACUCAUGUGUUUUCUUUCAACUGCUUCGGUACGCUUAACGGAUACAUAUCUGGCCCUUUGAAUUCUCUCAUCAAUCAGGGUGAAUUGGUACUUUUGAUAACCUUCAACAUAGUAGUGGCACAGUAAUUGGGCAUUCACUAUAUACAGGUGGGCACUUUUUAAAUGAUUUGGUUCAACACAUUUAACCUCUGUUGACAACAUAAACAUGAUUAACUUAAGUCUUCAAAAAGAGAUCCUCAGUGUAGAGCGUUGUACGGAAAAAGCGAGAUAUAAUGACAGACUAGAAUAGUCGAAAUUCUAGUGUGGCAUUAGUAAAAAAAACGUAUAAACAUUGAAGCAGCAACUCCAUUGUUAGUUGAGGCUAAGCUCUACCAGAGAACUCAAUGCCAUACUAUUCCUGUUAACAUGCACUUAUGAAGGAUAUAUAUUUGCAGUUUGAAUAGGGCAGCUGCAAACUAGUAACUAGUGUCUGCGUUGAUUUUUAAGAGGAGACAGCUUCAGUUCAGAUGUAUUUCUCUUGAGCAGUCGGGGUGCCGUGUUGCCUGGCUUUUCCUCUGUCUGAGUGACAGCUCCCACUGGUAGUGUUUUUCACCUUGAUAACAGCCACCAAUUGGCUACUUGGCACGCUAACUGGGUACAGCAUGCUAAGGUCUCAGCCAAUCACAGCUCGGUUCUUUCUUCAACCGGGACCAACGAUGUCAGUAUAGACGGAUAUCCCUGGUGACUGUUGGUGAGCAUUUAAAGAGGUUCUACUAUAAGAGAUGGGAAGUCUGUUCUUCUACUUGCCACCCCAACUUGCAGCCAUGCAAGACUUUCGAAAAUACUACAAAGAAAACAAUAAUCUGAGAAAUGUUGAAACCUAAAUCAAUAGUUCAUUUGUACACAUUGUAUUGCUCAUGCAUAUCAUUUGUAGAGCUUUUUUUUCUCAUGGUAUAUUUUUUAAGAGAUUCAUAUUUAUUUUAAAGUGCUUUGUGUCAUGUGAUUGUUUGGUGUGCUUAUGUGGUACAUCUGUGAGAGGAAGUAAAUCAGUUCUAGUAGGAAUUAGGAUGUGACCUAAGAAUAGUCUGUUCGCAAAGGCAAUGACAGAUGGCACGGUACAGAUCUCUGCAACUUAAAAAAAAUAUAGUUUGAAAGGAAACAGUCUUGGUGUAACUAUGGUUACAUAAUGUCAUCUAUUGUAAACAUGUUUUUUUGGUUUCAAAAUAUUGGGACUAGUGUCCAAAGAAUAAGAAAAAAGUUAAACUGCAAUCUGGUAUGGAUGUAUGCUACGCAUUAUUUGAUUGUUUUUACUAUGGAAAUCUUUGGCCGUUUGCUAAGCCUCAUGUAGAUGUGUUCAGUAUUUAAUCCAAUUGGCAGAUCUUUUGCUUAUUGGUUGACUCUAAUGGUACUGCAUUCGUAUGACGCUUCUUAGGGACCUCCUGUUGAUAAUCUUCUAUCAUUGUUGUACAAUUUGAAUCUCCAUUGCCUUACUAGCACUCUGAAAAAAGAACAAAAUAUCGACAGUUUGUACUGAUGAUAUGCCAUGCAUUGUCAUUUUACUCGCUAUGAAUUUGAUGUAUGCUUUUACCUAUAAUGUACGAUGUCCAUAGUGGUUGAAUAUGAUUUUCUAAGUUAGCACUGAUGUAUGUCUGUAAUGUUGUUUUAAGGGAAAUAUACAAAAAAACUGUUGUUAAUUGGUUUAUCUAUCUAUACCUUUGUAUUGUGCUGAAAAGUAUUUUCCAAUCAGUUGUUAAAACAAAAAAUGGUACCUUGAUUCGGUACCUGCAUCGGUAACACACAGUUGACUUACGGUACUUUAUUUAAAAGCUGUAGAAUUUAUGUCUGUGUGUUGUUUGAUGUUUAUUUACAAAAUGGCCGCAGGCUCAUUGUUGUCGCUUACAGUAGAAUCCAUCUGUAGCAGGAGAGAGAGGGGAGCGAUGAAACCAUGAAACUCCUUCAAAUCUCUCUCUCCACCCUUAUAGGAAUAUGGUAUUGUUGUAUCAAGGCUACAGUUUUGUUUGGUUCAUCGGAGAAGCGUGUGCUUGUACGCACAACAUCCAACUACAAUCAAAGCCCUGUAUGACUGCUACCGUCUUAACUACAUGGAAUCAGACAUUUUCUAUGUUUUCUUUGUAAACGUCCAAUGUUCCACUUUUCCAUGUAUGUACGUGUCAAAGUAAGGAGGACCUUAUCGCAUACGAGCAGCACGCCAUGGAGCCUCGCUACCGUCCCCGUCCCUCAUAAAAGAGGAAACACAUGGCAGUUUAAUACAUUAGUCCUUCAUCUGGCUGCUGUAAAGGGCAGCUCAGUGCGUGAUAACGCUCCACACAGCGCUGGUGGUGCUUGCUAUAAAUCCAUAGGGCGAACGUUUUUUAGUGCCAAAUCUAACCAGGACAUCUCUCUGUCACACACACACACACACACACACACACACACACACACACACACACACACACACACACACACACACACACACACACACACACACAACACAAACACAUUAGCUGCUUAAAUGGUGGUGCAGUCUUCAAAACAAGCUGAAGAGAUGCUCCCUUGCUCUCCCCCUCCAAACAAACACACAUGUGCGCACACACCCAAAACAAACGCUUUUGAGUGGAGAUGCUCCCACAUGCACGCACACACACACACACACACACACACACACACACACACACACACACACACACACACACACACACACACACACACACACACACACACACACACACACACACACACACACACACACACACACACACACACACACACACAUACAUCCAGGACCAGCAACGUGCUCUCUAAUGUUGCCCCUACUCACUGCAACAGGCUAACCUUGUUAUGACAGCUAUUGCCUCUGUGUUAGCCCCGCACCCUUGCUGCUUCCUCUGUCGGCAUGUAUAUAUUCCAUGGCAUCAAUUAUUCUAUUAAACAUACAUAAAGUGACCUUUGACGUCUCUGUUUUUCGUGUUAUGUAUUAUGGAAGUGGUUUGAGUGGGGG
ensembl:lncRNA